rnacentral:rRNA from 1 species
GAUGAACGCUGGCGGCGUGCCUAAUACAUGCAAGUCGAGCGAACGGACGAGAAGCUUGCUUUUCUGAUGUUAGCGGCGGACGGGUGAGUAACACGUAGAUAACCUACCUAUAAGACUGGGAUAACUUCGGGAAACCGGAGCUAAUACCGGAUAAUAUUUUGAACCGCAUGGUUCAAAAGUGAAAGACGGUCUUGCUGUCACUUAUAGAUGGAUCCGCGCUGCAUUAGCUAGUUGGUAAGGUAACGGCUUACCAAGGCAACGAUGCAUAGCCGACCUGAGAGGGUGAUCGGCCACACUGGAACUGAGACACGGUCCAGACUCCUACGGGAGGCAGCAGUAGGGAAUCUUCCGCAAUGGGCGAAAGCCUGACGGAGCAACGCCGCGUGAGUGAUGAAGGUCUUCGGAUCGUAAAACUCUGUUAUUAGGGAAGAACAUAUGUGUAAGUAACUGUGCACAUCUUGACGGUACCUAAUCAGAAAGCCACGGCUAACUACGUGCCAGCAGCCGCGGUAAUACGUAGGUGGCAAGCGUUAUCCGGAAUUAUUGGGCGUAAAGCGCGCGUAGGCGGUUUUUUAAGUCUGAUGUGAAAGCCCACGGCUCAACCGUGGAGGGUCAUUGGAAACUGGAAAACUUGAGUGCAGAAGAGGAAAGUGGAAUUCCAUGUGUAGCGGUGAAAUGCGCAGAGAUGUGGAGGAACACCAGUGGCGAAGGCGACUUUCUGGUCUGUAACUGACGCUGAUGUGCGAAAGCGUGGGGAUCAAACAGGAUUAGAUACCCUGGUAGUCCACGCCGUAAACGAUGAGUGCUAAGUGUUAGGGGGUUUCCGCCCCUUAGUGCUGCAGCUAACGCAUUAAGCACUCCGCCUGGGGAGUACGACCGCAAGGUUGAAACUCAAAGGAAUUGACGGGGGCCCGCACAAGCGGUGGAGCAUGUGGUUUAAUUCGAAGCAACGCGAAGAACCUUAUCAAAUCUUGACAUCCUUUGACAACUCUAGAGAUAGAGCCUUCCCCUUCGGGGGACAAAGUGACAGGUGGUGCAUGGUUGUCGUCAGCUCGUGUCGUGAGAUGUUGGGUUAAGUCCCGCAACGAGCGCAACCCUUAAGCUUAGUUGCCAUCAUUAAGUUGGGCACUCUAAGUUGACUGCCGGUGACAAACCGGAGGAAGGUGGGGAUGACGUCAAAUCAUCAUGCCCCUUAUGAUUUGGGCUACACACGUGCUACAAUGGACAAUACAAAGGGCAGCGAAACCGCGAGGUCAAGCAAAUCCCAUAAAGUUGUUCUCAGUUCGGAUUGUAGUCUGCAACUCGACUACAUGAAGCUGGAAUCGCUAGUAAUCGUAGAUCAGCAUGCUACGGUGAAUACGUUCCCGGGUCU